rnacentral:SRP_RNA from 2 species
GCCGGGUGUGGUGGCGCACGCCUGUAAUCCCAGCUACUUGGGAGGCUGAGGCAGGAGAAUUGCUUGAACCUGGGAGCUGGAGGUUGCAAUGAGCUGAGAUCACACCACUGCACUCCAGCCUGGGAGACAGAGUGAGACUCUGUCUCAA